GGGGCUUUAGCUUAGUUGGUAGAGCGCCUGCUUUGCAAGCAGGAGGUCAGGAGUUCGAGUCUCCUUAUCUCCA
rnacentral:tRNA from 2 species